GCGACAGACCUGGAGCUACUUCAAUGGUGACAGCCAACAGAUUGUGGCUUCAUCAAGGAGUUCUCCAACCUGGCCUUCCUCACAGUCAAGGGAGCGGCGUCACAGUGUUCCUGCUAACAAACCCAUUGCCGCUUACACAAUGUUCUACCGGUUCAUAACCAAACAGCCUUACUGAGAGGGGUCCUGCUCACUCGUCACCACUCCCACACUUGCAUUACUUGCACAGCCUUUCUUUGCAUAGGCUAUGAUUAUAACUCUGAAAUACAAUCAGCACUUGACCUACUGUAUAUGAAUGUUUUAAGGAAAGAUCUAAUGAUGAGGCUGAUGACUGCCUGUACAUUCCCUACCCAGGCUGUGCAUCAGCUCUAGUAUGUUCAGCAUUAAACGGUACCCUUUUAUCAA